GAUGAACGCUGGCGGCGUGCCUAAUACAUGCAAGUCGAGCGAACAGACGAGGAGCUUGCUCCUCUGACGUUAGCGGCGGACGGGUGAGUAACACGUGGAUAACCUACCUAUAAGACUGGGAUAACUUCGGGAAACCGGAGCUAAUACCGGAUAAUAUAUUGAACCGCAUGGUUCAAUAGUGAAAGACGGUUUUGCUGUCACUUAUAGAUGGAUCCGCGCCGCAUUAGCUAGUUGGUAAGGUAACGGCUUACCAAGGCAACGAUGCGUAGCCGACCUGAGAGGGGGAUUCGGCCCCCCGGAACUGAGAAACGGGCCCGACUCCUAAGGGAGGCAGGCGUAGGGAAUCUUUCGGAAUGGGGGAAAGCCCGACGGAGCAACGCCGGGUGAGUUAUGAAGGUCUUCGGAUCGGAAAACCCUGUUAUUAGGGAAGAACAAAUGUGUAAGUAACCAUGCACGUCUUGACGGUACCUAAUCAGAAAGCCACGGCUAACUACGUG
rnacentral:rRNA from 1 species